rnacentral:rRNA from 1 species
UACAGAGGUCCCAAGCGUUGUCCGGAAUCACUGGGCGUAAAGGGCGCGUAGGCGGCUCGGUAAGUAGGGGGUGAAAUCCUGCGGCUUAACCGCAGGGCUGCCUUCUAAACUGUCGAGCUCGAGCACGGUAGAGGCAGAUGGAAUUCCCGGUGUAGCGGUGGAAUGCGUAGAGAUCGGGAAGAACAUCAGUGGCGAAGGCGGUCUGCUGGGCCGUUGCUGACGCUGAGGCGCGACAGCGUGGGGAGCAAACAGG